CUGGUUAAGUGCCGUUGUGUGGACUAACACUCCUGUCCGACAUCGCAACACUCUGCCAACAGUUUGGUCUCAGAGUUGAAACUAUAGAUCUAGGGUUAGGGUUACUGAUGCUCAGUAUGGUUGGCACUGAAUAGGUUAACAUCUGCCGAAUGUAUAAGUGUUCACAAUGUCGGCAUCUGAUCUGUCGACAUUCUGCAGAUUACCAACAUUAGGGUUAGGCUACAGGGGAGGAUUAUGGGUACAGGCAGACCCCCGAUUUAAUGUCAGCAUGAUUAGAAUGUCACUGUGUAUACAUUCUGCAGAUGCCGACAUGUUCCAUGCUGACAUUCCAACAAUAACUGUUGCCAUGGUAACUUCAUCUCCUAGAUACUGUACUGUACCACAUAAUACAGGAUCCGCCCCAUAUCUGUGCAUAGCUGUAUACCAGGAAGCAUGCAGGGAAACACUACACGGCUCAUGGCCGCCCAGGGCAGGACGGAAGCACAUCAGUGGGGGGACGGCAGCUGUAACAGCCAGGGUCAGAUGAAGGAGAAUUCAGCAUCCCUAUAGCAUCCCGCAGAGAAGCUGGAAGUGGCAGCACUCCUUAUACAUCGCUCUCAGCGCUAUCACACAGGGGUAUGGAUCGCGCCUUGGAGAGAGAUAAAGUGCAGCCAAUCGCUGGUAAUUGGAUACAUCAGCUUGCAAAGGCCACGGAGGACGUGUGUACAUCUGCUAAACCGGAAACGCUGGCGUGCUGUAAGACUGUCACCCCUAACAGAAGUGGAGGGAGAACGUCUCUUACACCUGGAACAAUGGGAAACAGGAAAUGUUUUGUUCUAAUAAAUGGAAGUACAUUAAACAGAACAA